GCGCAGCAGUCGAGAAUUUUUCUCAAUGGGCGAAAGCCUGAAGGAGCGACGCCGCGUGGAGGAUGAAGGCUUUCGGGUUGUAAACUCCUGUCAUUUGAGAACAAGUGUAGCCAAAUAACUACUGGCUACUUGAUAGUAUCAGAAGAGGAAGGGACGGCUAACUCUGUGCCAGCAGCCGCGGUAAUACAGAGGUCCCAAGCGUUGUUCGGAUUCAUUGGGCGUAAAGGGUGCGUAGGUGGCGCCGUCAGUGGGGUGUGAAAUUUCGGAGCUUAACUCCGAAACUGCAUUCCAUACUGCGGUGCUUGAGGACUGGAGAGGAGACUGGAAUUCAUGGUGUAGCAGUGAAAUGCGUAGAGAUCAUGAGGAAGACCAGUGGCGAAAGCGGGUCUCUGGACAGUUCCUGACACUGAGGCACGAAGGCUAGGGGAGCGAACGGGAUUAGAUACCCCUGUAGU
rnacentral:rRNA from 1 species